rnacentral:rRNA from 1 species
UACGGAGGGUGCAAGCAUUGAUCGGAAUUACUGGGCGUAAAGGGCGCGUAGGCGGCUCUAAAAGUCAGAUGUGAAAUUCCGGGGCUCAACCCCGGAGCUGCAUUUGAAACUCUAGAGCUAGAGUAUAGUUAGGGUAAACGGAAUUCCACGUGUAGCGGUGAAAUGCGUAGAUAUGUGGAAGAACACCAGUGGUGAAGACGGUUUACUGGGCUAUAACUGACGCUGAGGCGCGAAAGCAUGGGGAGCAAACAGG